UAAAUUGAGGAGCACAUAAGAGAUGUUC
rnacentral:piRNA from 1 species